rnacentral:rRNA from 1 species
CGCUGGCGGCAUGCCUAACACAUGCAAGUCGAACGAGACCUUCGGGUCUAGUGGCGCACGGGUGCGUAACGCGUGGGAACCUGCCUUUAGGUUCGGAAUAACUCAGAGAAAUUUGAGCUAAUACCGGAUAAUGUCUUCGGACCAAAGAUUUAUCGCCUUUAGGAUGGGCCCGCGUUGGGAUUAGCUAGUUGGUGGGGUAAAGGCCUACCAAGGCGACGAUCCAUAGCUGGUCUGAGAGGAUGAUCAGCCACACUGGGACUGAGACACGGCCCAGACUCCUACGGGAGGCAGCAGUGGGGAAUAUUGGACAAUGGGGCGAAAGCCUGAUCCAGCAAUGCCGCGUGAGUGAUGAAGGCCUUAGGGUUGUAAAGCUCUUUUACCCGAGAUGAUAAUGACAGUAUCGGGAGAAUAAGCUCCGGCUAACUCCGUG